AAAAUAAAAUAAAAUGCAUUAAAAAUAUUUUUAAAAUAAAUUUUAAAAGGAAAAUAAAAGAGGAAAUCCAUAAAGCCCUUCAAAACACUAAAUAAAUGGCCAAGAAAGUUAUAGAAAGUUAGAAAUAAAAUAACAAACAUAAAAUAAAAUAUUCAUAAUUUUUAAAUGCAUAAAAGUAUUUUUAAACCAAUUAAAACAAAGGAAAAAAAGAGGAAAUUCAAGAAAAAUAUAAAAUCAUGAAAAUAUAAUAUGGAAAAGUAAAAAUCAGAUGAAUAAAAAUAAAAUAAAAUUUUAGAAAUUAUUUUGGUAUUUUUUGGAUGAAAAAUGAUUUUUCUAUGAAUUUUCAAAGAAAAUGAAACUUAAAAUAAAAAAGAAAAAGAAAUAAAAUUAGAAGAAAGCAGAGGCGUUGGAUCUGGCCUCAUUAAUUGACGUGGCAAAUUCAAUAGUCA
rnacentral:lncRNA from 1 species